rnacentral:rRNA from 1 species
CUCUGCCGAGAAAAGCCUCUAGUGAGUGUUGUGGCGGCCCGUACCCUAAACCGACUCAGGUGGUCAGGUAGAGAAUACCAAGGCGAUCGGGUGAACUGUGGUUAAGGAACUCGGCAAAUUGCCCCCGUAACUUCGGGAGAAGGGGGACCUCUGCUGGUGAUGGGCUUUACGUUCUGAGCUGGUGGGGGUCGCAGUGGCCAGGGGGAAGCGACUGUUUACUAAAAACACAGGUCCGUGCGAAGUCGUAAGACGAUGUAUACGGACUGACGCCUGCCCGGUGCCGGAACGUUAAGGGGACCGCUUAGCCAACGCGAGUUGGCGAAGGUGAGAACUUAAGCGCCGGUAAACGGCGGUGGUAACUAUAACCAUCCUAAGGUAGCGAAAUUCCUUGUCGGGUAAGUUCCGACCUGCACGGAUGGCGUAACGACUUCCCCGCUGUCUCAACCACAGACCCGGCGAAAUUGCACUACGAGUAAAGAUGCUCGUUUCGCGCAGCAGGACGGAAAGACCCCGGGACCUUCACUACAGCUUGACAUUGGCGUUUGGAACGUCUUGUGUAGGAUAGGUGGGAGACUGGGAAGCUGUCACGCUAGUGAUGGAGGAGUCAUUGGUGAAAUACCACUCUGGUCGUUUUGAACGUCUAACUCUGGUCCGUGAUCCGGAUCGGGGACAGUGUCUGGUGGGUAGUUUAACUGGGGCGGUUGCCUCCUAAAGAGUAACGGAGGCGCCCAAAGGUUCCCUCAGCCUGGUUGGCAAUCAGGUGUUGAGUGUAAGUGCACAAGGGAGCUUGACUGUGAGACUGACAGGUCGAGCAGGAGCGAAAGCUGGGACUAGUGAUCCGGCAUCGGCGUGUGGAAGCGGUGUCGCUCAACGGCUAAAAGGUACCCCGGGGAUAACAGGCUGAUCUUCCCCAAGAGUCCAUAUCGACGGGAUGGUUUGGCACCUCGAUGUCGGCUCGUCGCAUCCUGGGGCUGGAGUAGGUCCCAAGGGCUGGGCUGUUCGCCCAUUAAAGCGGUACGCGAGCUGGGUUUAGAACGUCGCGAGACAGUUCGGUCCCUAUCCGCUGCGCGCGCAGGAGACUUGAAGGGGGCUGUCCCUAGUACGAGAGGACCGGGACGGACGAACCUCUGGUGUGCCAGUUGUACCGCCAGGUGCACGGCUGGUUGGCUACGUUCGGAAGGGAUAACCGCUGAAAGCAUCUAAGCGGGAAGCUCGCCUUGAGAUGAGGUCUCCCACCCCGUGAGGGGGUAAGGCUCCCGGUAGAUCACCGGGUUGAUAGGCCGGAGGUGGAAGCACGGUAACGUGUGGAGCUGACCGGUACUAAUAGGCCGAGGACUUGACCAC